rnacentral:sRNA from 1 species
UCGUCAUCCAGUCCUGAUUUGAUUCGC